rnacentral:tRNA from 1 species
UCCCUGGUGGGCCGGUGGCUAAGACUCUGCAUUCCCAAGGCAGGGGGCCAGGGUUCGAUUCCUGGCCGGGGAA